UCGGGCCUCGGGGCGCAGCAGUGAGGAAUAUUGGUCAAUGGGCGGGAGCCUGAACCAGCCAAGCCGCGUGAAGGAAGAAGGCGCCAGGCGUCGUAAACUUCUUUUGUCGGGGAACAAAGGGCGCCACGCGUGGCGUUGUGAGUGUACCCGAAGAAAAAGCAUCGGCUAACUCCGUGCCAGCAGCCGCGGUAAUACGGAGGAUGCGAGCGUUAUCCGGAUUUAUUGGGUUUAAAGGGUGCGUAGGCGGUCCGGAAAGUCAGCGGUAAAAGCCCGGGGCUCAACCCCGGCGAGCCGUUGAAACUGUC
rnacentral:rRNA from 1 species